CCUACGGGAGACAGCAGUGAGGAAUAUUGGUCAAUGGACGAGAGUCUGAACCAGCCAAGCAGCGUGAAGGAUGACUGCCCUAUGGGUUGUAAACUUCUUUUAUAAAAGGAUAAAACGAGGCACGUGUGCCUGGUUGCAAGUACUUUAUGAAUAAGGAUCGGCUAACUCCGUGCCAGCAGCCGCGGUAAUACGGAGGAUCCAAGCGUUAUCCGGAUUUAUUGGGUUUAAAGGGGACGUAGAUGGGUGGUUAAGUCAGUUGUGAAAGUCUGCGGCUCAAGCGUACAAUUGCACUGAUUACUGCGGUCUAGAGUUUAGUUGAGGUAGGCGGAAUGCAUGGUGUAGCGGUGAAAUGCUUAGAUAUCACAAAGAACCCCGAUUGCGAAGGCAGCUUACUAAACUGUGACUGACAUUGAUGCUCGAAAGUGUGGGUAGCAAACAGGAUUAGAUACCCGAGUAGUC
rnacentral:rRNA from 1 species